GCUUAACACAUGCAAGUCGAGCGGGCAUAGCAAUAUGUCAGCGGCAGACGGGUGAGUAACGCGUGGGAACGUACCUUUUGGUUCGGAACAACACAGGGAAACUUGUGCUAAUACCGGAUAAGCCCUUACGGGGAAAGAUUUAUCGCCGAAAGAUCGGCCCGCGUCUGAUUAGCUAGUUGGUGAGGUAAUGGCUCACCAAGGCGACGAUCAGUAGCUGGUCUGAGAGGAUGAUCAGCCACAUUGGGACUGAGACACGGCCCAAACUCCUACGGGAGGCAGCAGUGGGGAAUAUUGGACAAUGGGCGCAAGCCUGAUCCAGCCAUGCCGCGUGAGUGAUGAAGGCCCUAGGGUUGUAAAGCUCUUUUGUGCGGGAAGAUAAUGACGGUACCGCAAGAAUAAGCCCCGGCUAACUUCGUGCCAGCAGCCGCGGUAAUACGAAGGGGGCUAGCGUUGCUCGGAAUCACUGGGCGUAAAGGGUGCGUAGGCGGGUCUUUAAGUC
rnacentral:rRNA from 1 species